ACGAGGGGUCCUAGCGUUGUUCGGAAUCAUUGGGCGUAAAGCGUAUGUAGGCGGCCUAGCAAGUCAGUUGUGAAAGCCCCGGGCUCAACCCGGGAAGUGCUUCUGAUACUGCUUGGCUUGAGUACAGGAGAGGAAAGCGGAAUUCCAGGUGUAGCGGUGAAAUGCGUAGAUAUCUGGAAGAACACCAGUAGCGAAGGCGGCUUUCUGGUCUGAUACUGACGCUAAAGUGCGAAGGCUAGGGGAGCAAACAGGA
rnacentral:rRNA from 1 species